CAUAAAGUGUAAAGUGGCUGGUGCCAGCAGUUUGUGCGUGGAGGGGUGGCGGGUGUCAAGAGUCCAGAGUAUGUGGGAUCAGAGGGCAGAGAAGGAAGAGGAUCUGCAAAGCACUGAGCAUUGCGUGUCAAACAAGUUGCAUAUGGUCAGGAGACAUCUCCCAAAAAUGUAUCCUUGUUAAAUAUAUAUGUUCUGCAGUGUAGUCGACUCUUUGUUUGGGAGUUUUUUUCAUCUGUGUAUAAUACACCUUAGUUAUAAGGUAGCAAAUGCAUACUGAAACUCUUGUAUAACCUUAUGCAGGAUAUUCAGGAUCUCCUGGUAAGCUGGGCUGAACACUUGAAGGAGGCCUCUGCGAUAUUUGUACGAGCCCCCAGCUACAAUAAAACCAUCUUUUUUGGUGGUCGCGCAGCUCCUCUUCACAAAAAAGAUCCCAGGAUCUGCACGCUUCCCUUUGCCACACGCAGGGCAACCUUUCGAGAGACACAGAGGGUACAUGAGGUGCUUUCCACCGUCCAUAUUUACGGGAAAGACACAGACAUGUCUGCAGUCUUCAGUCCAUCUAAGAAGGCCUGGAAGAAAACUGUCAAACCUGCAGCGCAAAUAAAUACAGAUCAAGAGAAAG